CGAAUGGCGUAAUGAUGGCCAGGCUGUCUCCACCCGAGACUCAGUGAAAUUGAACUCGCUGUGAAGAUGCAGUGUACCCGCGGCAAGACGGAAAGACCCCGUGAACCUUUACUAUAGCUUGACACUGAACAUUGAGCCUUGAUGUGUAGGAUAGGUGGGAGCUUUGAAGCGUGGACGCCAGUCUGCGUGGAGCCAACCUUGAAUACCACCCUUUAAUGUUUGAUGUUCUAACGUUGGCCCCUGACCGGGGUUGCGGACAGUGUCUGGUGGGUAGUUUGACUGGGGCGGUCUCCUCCCAAAGCGUAACGGAGGAGCACGAAGGUUAGCUAAUCCUGGUCGGACAUCAGGAGGUUAGUGCAAUGGCAUAAGCUAGCUUGACUGCGAGCG
rnacentral:rRNA from 1 species